UAGAUAUGCUGCAAAACUGUUAUUUGGAUAACAUGCAUGUCACUUAUUAAUGCAUUACUGCACGAUACUAUCACUGACAAUGCCACGAUGAUAUGCCCGCCAAUUCUUGAUAAAGCUGUUCAAAAAAAUAUUGUAAAAAGUCUACCACUCAAAGUAUUAUUAAUAGAUUUUAGCAAACAAGCUUCAAUCAAGAUCAAAAAAAUAAAAUUUACGGUCAAAAUGGUUGUUCUCAAGAAAGUAUUGCUGCUGUCAGUCAAAGUGUUAGUGACACCUCAGUUCGUCAGAAAUUAUAUAUAAAACUACUUUAUUCAAUAUUUUGCUUCACGAUCUAAAAGCUUGUAAAAUACAAUUAACAAAAUAAUUAUUACCAAGUUAUCAUGGGUGAUAUUCUGCUAUUGGGCUCUUGCAAAAGAAAAAAAACAUCAUUUUUUAAACAAAGUUACUUUUUACGAUGAAGCACAUUUUGUUUGACAAUUUUGUGGAAUUGUUAAUUCAUUACCAAGAUCAAGUGAUCUAAGAACAUUAGGUGGGUUUGUCAAUCGUAUUUCAGCAUGUUCUUUUAAUAAACAAAAUUGCGGCUAUCAAAUAUCAGGUUUUAAAAAAAGUAUAGAUGUUCCAUCUGCAAUACUUCCAAACACUUCUUUUACUCCAAGCAAUGGUCCUGAUUAUGUAUAUGGAGAUACUGGUUCAUUUCGUAUUGAUGUUCAUGCAAG